rnacentral:snRNA from 1 species
GGAUGUGAGGGUGAUCUGGCUGCGACAUCUGCCACCCCAUUGAUCGCCAGGGUUGAUUUGGCUGAUCUGGCUGGCGAGGCGGGUGUCCCCUUCCUCCCUCAAUGAUCCAUGUGCAUCCCUCCCUAAGCUGCACACUCGGUCAAAGAGGACGACCACCCCCGAUGGAGGAGGACCAUUCCUCGGUCAAGGGUAUAUGAGUAGCUGCACUCCCCUGCUAGAACCUCCAAACAAGCUCUCAAAAUUAUAUAAUAUGUAUAACUAAGCUGGCGGUAAUUAAAAGAUUAAACUUAUUUAUUUAUUUAUUU